AUGUUGGUAUCCUGUCUGUUUCUCCAAACUGGGGACGUGCCGACCGCCGUCUACUGUAGGUAAUACACUGACUAUGGAUAAGUACCUGAUACAACCCCACUUCAAAACCAAAACUAUCCCUUUAAUACGGCCGAAAAAGGUAUAGUAACUAUAUAAAAUAUCUAUUAUAUUCAAAAUAUUCAAUAAUUCAAAGAUUAUUUUAAUUACUAACCACAUUUGUCUUGCUUUACUCUUAUCUUACUCCACCACCUGAGCUGCUGUUAUUAUUCACUGUGGACGCAAAAAAAGUAAGUAUGAGCUUCUGUUUUGUUGAGAAAGGGACUUGGAAUAGUCUAUAAUGUAAAGAAAUAGUAAGAAUUGUGUGUUAAAUCUGCUUAUUCAUACUUAUUCAAUAAUUCAAACAUUGUUUUACUAACCAUUCUUUAUAUCCUACUUCACCACCUGAGCUGCUUUUGUUCACUGAGGAUGAAGAAGGUGAUCUUAAAUAGUCUAUAAUGUAAAAAAAGAUAAAGUAAUAUUAUGUAACCCACCUACAAACUAUAUGCUAUACAUCUAUUUGUUCAUAUAAUAUCACUUAAUAAGUAAUUCAAACAUAAUUUGUCUCUCUUACUAACCAUUAUUUAUUGUUCCCUCUCUUACUCCAUCACCUGAGCUGCUGCUGUUCACCGAGGACGAAGAAGGAUCUGUCCUUGCAUCUGCCUGCCUCAGCUGCUUGCUUCCAUAACCCCGAGCUAUUGCACCAGGCCAGCCACGCUCUGACCCUCAUCAGCCUGUCCUGCUCUUGUCUCUUCUCUGGAUGUGGUGAUGUCAGUGGAGAACUUUAGCUGCUUGUCAAGUUCGGCUCUCAUUCACCAGUCAUUUCCUGGAACCUGUCUGAAGACUGAUGUUCUGCUCAGGCGCUUCUGCACCGAUUGUCCAGCCGUUACAAACUGAACCAGCUGCAUAUGUGGUUGGAUUUACCAACAGAGUUUAUCAUUUCUGUCUGAUGUUACUGAUCACAGAAGGUUUAAACUUUAUAUAUCAGUAAAUCAGCUCAUUGUCAGUUGCUUGUUCUCUUCUGUGAAAGAAGCAAUAAAUCAGGAAAUGCCAAAGGCAAUGUUGAAACUAA